GGGCCAAUGAUUAGAACUCAUAUGGUCUCAAAGAGAGAUGAUGAUCUAAGAAUUACACUCAGUAGGAUUAUGCUGAGGUCC
ensembl:snoRNA SNORD115 Small nucleolar RNA SNORD115